ensembl:misc_RNA Metazoa_SRP Metazoan signal recognition particle RNA
GCUGGGUGUGGUGGUGCGUGCCUGUAAUCCCAGCUACUCGGGAGGUUGAGGCAGGAGAAUUGCUUGAACCCAGGAGGUGGAGGGUGCAGUGAGCUGAGAUAGUGCCACUGCACUCCAGCCUGGGCGACAGAGCAAGACUCUGUCUCAA